AGCGUACACGGUGGAUGCCCUGGCAGUCAGAGGCGAUGAAGGACGUGCUAAUCUGCGAUAAGCGUCGGUAAGGUGAUAUGAACCGUUAUAACCGGCGAUUUCCGAAUGGGGAAACCCAGUGUGAUUCGUCACACUAUCAUUAACUGAAUCCAUAGGUUAAUGAGGCGAACCGGGGGAACUGAAACAUCUAAGUACCCCGAGGAAAAGAAAUCAACCGAGAUUCCCCCAGUAGCGGCGAGCGAACGGGGAGGAGCCCAGAGCCUGAAUCAGUGUGUGUGUUAGUGGAAGCGUCUGGAAAGGCGCGCGAUACAGGGUGACAGCCCCGUACACAAAAAUACACAUAUUGUGAGCUCGAUGAGUAGGGCGGGACACGUGGUAUCCUGUCUGAAUAUGGGGGGACCAUCCUCCAAGGCUAAAUACUCCUGACUGACCGAUAGUGAACCAGUACCGUGAGGGAAAGGCGAAAAGAACCCCGGCGAGGGGAGUGAAAAAGAACCUGAAACCGUGUACGUACAAGCAGUGGGAGCACGCUUAGGCGUGUGACUGCGUACCUUUUGUAUAAUGGGUCAGCGACUUAUAUUCUGUAGCAAGGUUAACCGAAUAGGGGAGCCGAAGGGAAACCGAGUCUUAACUGGGCGUUAAGUUGCAGGGUAUAGACCCGAAACCCGGUGAUCUAGCCAUGGGCAGGUUGAAGGUUGGGUAACACUAACUGGAGGACCGAACCGACUAAUGUUGAAAAAUUAGCGGAUGACUUGUGGCUGGGGGUGAAAGGCCAAUCAAACCGGGAGAUAGCUGGUUCUCCCCGAAAGCUAUUUAGGUAGCGCCUCGUGAAUUCAUCUCCGGGGGUAGAGCACUGUUUCGGCAAGGGGGUCAUCCCGACUUACCAACCCGAUGCAAACUGCGAAUACCGGAGAAUGUUAUCACGGGAGACACACGGCGGGUGCUAACGUCCGUCGUGAAGAGGGAAACAACCCAGACCGCCAGCUAAGGUCCCAAAGUCAUGGUUAAGUGGGAAACGAUGUGGGAAGGCCCAGACAGCCAGGAUGUUGGCUUAGAAGCAGCCAUCAUUUAAAGAAAGCGUAAUAGCUCACUGGUCGAGUCGGCCUGCGCGGAAGAUGUAACGGGGCUAAACCAUGCACCGAAGCUGCGGCAGCGACGCUUAUGCGUUGUUGGGUAGGGGAGCGUUCUGUAAGCCUGUGAAGGUGUGCUGUGAGGCAUGCUGGAGGUAUCAGAAGUGCGAAUGCUGACAUAAGUAACGAUAAAGCGGGUGAAAAGCCCGCUCGCCGGAAGACCAAGGGUUCCUGUCCAACGUUAAUCGGGGCAGGGUGAGUCGACCCCUAAGGCGAGGCCGAAAGGCGUAGUCGAUGGGAAACAGGUUAAUAUUCCUGUACUUGGUGUUACUGCGAAGGGGGGACGGAGAAGGCUAUGUUGGCCGGGCGACGGUUGUCCCGGUUUAAGCGUGUAGGCUGGUUUUCCAGGCAAAUCCGGAAAAUCAAGGCUGAGGCGUGAUGACGAGGCACUACGGUGCUGAAGCAACAAAUGCCCUGCUUCCAGGAAAAGCCUCUAAGCAUCAGGUAACAUCAAAUCGUACCCCAAACCGACACAGGUGGUCAGGUAGAGAAUACCAAGGCGCUUGAGAGAACUCGGGUGAAGGAACUAGGCAAAAUGGUGCCGUAACUUCGGGAGAAGGCACGCUGAUAUGUAGGUGAAGUCCCUCGCGGAUGGAGCUGAAAUCAGUCGAAGAUACCAGCUGGCUGCAACUGUUUAUUAAAAACACAGCACUGUGCAAACACGAAAGUGGACGUAUACGGUGUGACGCCUGCCCGGUGCCGGAAGGUUAAUUGAUGGGGUUAGCGCAAGCGAAGCUCUUGAUCGAAGCCCCGGUAAACGGCGGCCGUAACUAUAACGGUCCUAAGGUAGCGAAAUUCCUUGUCGGGUAAGUUCCGACCUGCACGAAUGGCGUAAUGAUGGCCAGGCUGUCUCCACCCGAGACUCAGUGAAAUUGAACUCGCUGUGAAGAUGCAGUGUACCCGCGGCAAGACGGAAAGACCCCGUGAACCUUUACUAUAGCUUGACACUGAACAUUGAGCCUUGAUGUGUAGGAUAGGUGGGAGGCUUGGAAGUGUGGACGCCAGUCUGCAUGGAGCCGACCUUGAAAUACCACCCUUUAAUGUUUGAUGUUCUAACGUUGACCCGUAAUCCGGGUUGCGGACAGUGUCUGGUGGGUAGUUUGACUGGGGCGGUCUCCUCCUAAAGAGUAACGGAGGAGCACGAAGGUUGGCUAAUCCUGGUCGGACAUCAGGAGGUUAGUGCAAUGGCAUAAGCCAGCUUGACUGCGAGCGUGACGGCGCGAGCAGGUGCGAAAGCAGGUCAUAGUGAUCCGGUGGUUCUGAAUGGAAGGGCCAUCGCUCAACGGAUAAAAGGUACUCCGGGGAUAACAGGCUGAUACCGCCCAAGAGUUCAUAUCGACGGCGGUGUUUGGCACCUCGAUGUCGGCUCAUCACAUCCUGGGGCUGAAGUAGGUCCCAAGGGUAUGGCUGUUCGCCAUUUAAAGUGGUACGCGAGCUGGGUUUAGAACGUCGUGAGACAGUUCGGUCCCUAUCUGCCGUGGGCGCUGGAGAACUGAGGGGGGCUGCUCCUAGUACGAGAGGACCGGAGUGGACGCAUCACUGGUGUUCGGGUUGUCAUGCCAAUGGCACUGCCCGGUAGCUAAAUGCGGAAGAGAUAAGUGCUGAAAGCAUCUAAGCACGAAACUUGCCCCGAGAUGAGUUCUCCCUGACUCCUUGA
rnacentral:rRNA from 1 species